GCCGGAGGGUGCUAUCGUUGUUCGGAAUUACUGGGCGUAAAGGGCGCGUAGGCGGCCUGGUCAGUCGGGUGUGAAAGCCCGGGGCUCAACCCCGGAACGGCACCCGAGACGGUCAGGCUGGAGACCGGGAGAGGAGGGUGGAAUAGCCAGUGUAGAGGUGAAAUUCGUAGAUAUUGGCUGGAACACCGGUGGCGAAAGCGGCUCUCUGGCCCGGUUCUGACGCUGAGGCGCGAAAGCGUGGGGAGAAAACAGG
rnacentral:rRNA from 1 species